rnacentral:lncRNA from 1 species
UUUAAAUUAAUCGGGAAAAUUUUAAUCAAUAAGCAUCAAACACACUUCACAUUGGGAACUGCAAUACUGAAAUUGUGACAUUUUAAAUAUUUUCCUCAAAGGUGGUUAGUGAUUAUCUUUUUCCUGGGAAACAUGGAAAUACAACUAUAACAUUAAUGUGGCCAGUCUAGGUCACUAUGUUUUAGUUAAUGCUAAUAUUUAAACAGAUAUUCACAUUCCACGUCUACAAUAAGGUAGACUGUGAACUACCUGUAUUGCUGAAUUUUGGCCAAAAUUCCAUGAGAUAAUUUAGAGGAACGUCAAAUUUCUGAAGUGCAAACUCAUAAAACUUCACAUUUCGAUCACUUUUUUGCUUCAAUUGCAUCUGACUCAACAACACAGGCAAGUUUUCUUUCCUAAUUACUUGGAAAAAUAUUUCUCCAAUAAGUCCUGUGUCUUCUCUACUAUGGAUUGUUUUUAAGAUAUCAGCUCUGUGGUUAGUUUCCCACAGUUGAUAAAAAUCUAUCAAAAACACCAUAAUAUACAAUUAGCAAGGGAAAAGGUUGUUCUUCUAAGGCUGCAGGAACAGGAAAGAAAUAGCACUUCUUAUUUGUAUAAGCACAAACACCUUUUAAAUCUAGUCAUACUGCAUAAAUCCAAUAUAGUAUUCAAAAGUUCUAUAAAAAUGAACCAAAGAUACUUAUUUACUUCCACUGCUCCAAGAGUCGAACAUUAGAUCUGCAUGAGAGUUGCACUGUAGCCAUUUGCUGGUCCGAUUGAAGAGUUCAAAGUCCUUUUUGUUAUUUGGCCCAAUGAUGUCUACAUCCCAGAUAAAUUCAGUUCAAAAAACGGAAAUUAGGGCGAAGACUCCGUAUAACAAAGCACAAGGAUAUGCUACUAGAAGCUGCUGUCCUUCCAUGGCUAAUGCAGAAAUAAAAAUUUUGGAAGCAGAAAAACUACACCAUCCAAUAAUUCCAGCAGUAAGAAUGAUUCCUACCAUUCCUUGCAAAGAAAAUAUCACUGCGAAGCUGGAAAGCAGGAUCAUAGGAAGAAGACAAUAUCCAAGGACACUUGCCACACAACCAAAUGAAACACCAGUCAUACUCAUUAAGUUUAAUAAACAAAACAUUCCUAGGCAUCCAAUUGCACUGAUUCCAUAUACGUAGCCAAACUGGAUUUUGCCAGCC